AAAAAAGAAACUCAAGGAACAUAGCAGAAAUAUAUAUAGAAUUCGAUCAAAUUGAGAAAAUAAAUAAAAUUGACCCGUCACUAGAACUUUCUAACAAAUUGAGCAAGGUUAAAGGGAAAAUCAAUGACAUAUUGUUCCAAACAGCUAAUUAUGCCCUCGAAAGAUUAAAGAGGACAUGGUAUUAUAAAGGAAAUAAGGCUGACAAGUUACUUACCAAUAGAUUAAAGAAUAAAAAAGCUAAAAAAAGUAAUAUCUAAAAUCAC